rnacentral:rRNA from 1 species
GACGAACGCUGGCGGCGUGCUUAACACAUGCAAGUCGAACGGAAAGGCCCUGCUUUUGUGGGGUGCUCGAUUGGCGAACGGGUGAGUAACACGUGAGUAACCUGCCCUUGACUUUGGGAUAACUUCAGGAAACUGGGGCUAAUACCGGAUAGGAUCUCCUGCUGCACGGUGGGGGUUGGAAAGUUUCGGCGGUUGGGGAUGGACUCGCGGCUUAUGAGCUUGUUGGUGGGGUAGUGGCUUACCAAGGCUUUGACGGGUAGCCGGCAUGGGAGGGUGACCGGCGACAUUGGGACUGAGAGACGGCCCAGACUCCUACGGGAGGCAGCAGUGGGGAAUAUGGCACAAUGGGCGGAAGCCUGAUGCAGCAACGCCGCGUGCGGGAUGACGGCCUUCGGGUUGUAAACCGCUUUCGCCGGUGACGAGGCGUGAGUGACGGUAAUGGGUAAAGAAGCACCGGCUAACUACGUG